rnacentral:misc_RNA from 1 species
UUUGAUUGUGGAGCUAGAUGCCACUAGCUGUGGUGACAAAUGGUCUCUGACUGACAGCUGUAGGCACGCGAUGGACAAACAACACCACCUGUUUCAAUAAUACCAUAAAGCUAUAAAGUCAGACCAUGUAUCGCACAAAGUCACAGGUCAUCUAACAGCCUUUCGUUCACGACGCGUUUUGCCUUAGCCUCUUAUCACUUAAGCCUUCACGACUACCACCAUGAUGAAACCUGUCUGUCUUGUCCUUCUUCUCACGGCAACCUUUGCCUACUCCGGUGUAGAAGGUGAAAAUGCGUGUACAACGGCCAUCAAAAACAACUUGAACUACACUGCCCUGAAUUCUGCCUUCCAUUUCUGCGCGUCGGAUCCAGCGGGACGUGCCGCCUUGAUUAAAAACUCAGGUAAACUAUGCGCGCACUACGAUUACUUUACCGGCGAUAUCACUUGCGAAAUUCGGGCAGCUCCCUUCAUGAAAUGUGCAGCGAAAGAACUUGGUUACUUGAACGCUAAUGAUGGCUCAAUCAAAAACACAAAGAUCUUAGCGGAGUACAAGACUUACGCCACCAGCGACCCUAAGUGCAAGGUUGAUAUAUACAACUUCGCUGUGUAUAAAUGUGGCACUACCAUCGCAAACUACGCGUUCCUGGCGAAGGCCGCAUGCCUCUUCAGGAAGAUGGACCAGUACACUAGGUGAUCUUCGCAAUCUGGUCCUCAAACCUUCAUCUGAUUGGCGGCUUUGAAGUGUUCACAACAGGUUGGAAAAGUUUCU